AUCUCAUCACAAGGGUUUCUAAUCUUCCAGAGACUGCUGGGAAAUGUAGUUACCAGGGAGAAGUAUGCUACAGUUUUACCUCCUGACUAGUUCAAUAACUUCCUUUGCUCUCCACCCUCCUAUCCAGGUGGUUGUUAGCACUAAUUGGCUGCCCCUGUGUGUAGCCUAUUCUGUAGUGGAAACACAGGAGGUGAAAAAUGUGGUUUCUCUGGGAGAGCCUUUAAUUAUCUACUGCUUUCCUGCUCUCCUGGCAAGCAUACAGGUCACACUACUUCUCAUGGUAACGGUCCAUCCCGUGGAAAUUCAGAAGGCGUGAGUCCUUCUCCUGACCUGUCGACUGAGUUUGCUGAUUGAGAUACAGAACAUGGACAAAAUGGUGCAGGUGGAUGGCUGAAAGCAACACAAGUUAUUUUCACAGUCUGGAACAGAGGCAGAAUACAGGGCCAAUGGAAGGACAAUGAGACUGAAAGACCGAAGUCUUGGGUUCUAGUCUCAGCUCUGCCACCGGCCUGCUCUGUGUCCCUGAGCUGAUGAAAGUGCAAAGGAAGAAUUGAGGACUAACUGGCUCCUGGGUAUUAAACUAUCAGGAAGGCCAGGGGAGAGUAAAUCACUUUCUUCGACUGAGCACGCAAAACUUCCAACUAUUUAUUCCCUCUACUGCUGACAGGGAUUGCGACCAGAACAUAAAGUCUCACAAAUCCAUGUCAGUGACAAUGAUCAUGACACAAGCAGGAAGGAAUACACACAUCAACCUCUCCAGAGUCAGUUUGAAGAUUGUGAUCAGAUGGCCCUCCCCAGACAUUGCUUGGAGUAAGUGAUUAAAGUCCAAUUUCUCAUUUAUAGGUGUCUUCUUGGUAGAGGUGAAAGAAUUGCAAUGUAACACCUGACAAAAAAGACUUGUAAGCUCACUGCAAAUUCCAUAGUAGGCAUAGAUUUUUCCAAUGUUGCCAGGCUAAUCCGGGCUUCCCAUAUUCCCCAUGGUAUAAAUCAAACCCAGGGCAAAGGGUAAAUUUAAACUUUCAGGGAGCCCAGCAUGGGCUUGUAGGUAUGGACAGUAGUGAUUUUGGAACGAGGUUUUGCUUGUAAUUUUAAUACCCUGCGCUGCUGUGGCCUGGUUAGCACUGCGAAUCAGGUCCAUUUCUUAACCGAGGGUUAAGAAAGGGACACAGUGCUAAGCAAAGUAUAACUCUCCAGAGAAAAUCAUGCAGAAUGCAUUAUUGUGUUGUCCAAAUCCAAGACAUUGACCAAAGCAAUAUAAAUAUAUUGAAGAUGGUUUUAAAUUCAGUUUAACACCAAUAAUGAAAGAUUGAAUUUGCUUUUUAAUGUACGUUUCUAAAUGCUUACUUUCGAAGUGUUACCUUUCACAUCCCAUUCAGCAAAAAGGUACUUUGUGGUAACAGAGAAGUCUAUCUAUGAGAAAUCAAUGUUGUCAUUACCUAAUAUUAAAGUGAAAUGGACUUUAA